AUGUACACCGAGGCGGAGGCAAAGGAAGCACGAGACGAUGGCGUCGAUCUGCUGGAAGAGGGACGGCUGUUGGCACUCAGCCGGUCCGCCAUCUACCAGCAGAGCCUACGCCGCUAUCAUAGUCGGAAGGCCAAGCCAAGAUCCUUCCAAGAGGGAGACCUUGUGCUCCGGCUGAUCCAGCGAACAGCCGGCCAGCACAAGCUCACGGCCCAUUGGGAAGGCCCUUUCAUCAUCAGCAAAGCCUUGGGCAAUCACUCCUACUACCUGAUCGAUGCCCAGAAGCCCAGGGCGUGCAAGAGAGACGACUCCGACAAGGAAACAGAGCGCCCAUGGAAUGCAAAUCUCCUUCGAAGAUUUUACAGUUGA
rnacentral:rRNA from 1 species